CAAUCUUACACACAUCUGUCAUCAAGAUCCGUGCGCCUAACCCUCAGAGAGUCACACCUCAGUCGAAGCUCGAAACCAUCUGCAUCCUCCUCGUCUCCACCCGGGCCUCCCCAGUCCCCUUCUCCUCCCGGCGAGGCGGCGGCCGUCGGCGAGGCCGCCUCCGCCUCCGACUUCAGGCAGUGGGAAGGAAAGAAGAGCUUGGAACGGAGGAGGCGGGAGCUGCCUCCGCUCCGACUCUCCGAGCCAUGGGGACCUCAGCCCAGGGAGCCGGACAUCCGGAAGCAAAUCGAUCGAUGACGGUGAGCAGUAAGCUUAAAGAGCUUGAGAAGUUGGGUCGUUAAAAAGCUAGUGACCAGUCAGUCAGUGAAGGAAGAGGUGCUAAAACCUGGUGAUCGUGUCUUGAAAGAUAAAUAGGGAUCUCGGUAUUUAAAGGGAAACAAACUUACUGUGAGACAUUCCCCUGGAGCUUGGGAACAUGUCUAAAUUUAGCUACCUGUAAGUGAUAUUUCUCUUGUGUAGAAGAUGUUUUUGGAACUCCAGUUGAUGUGGAGCACUAUACGAGGUUUGGAAACUUUUAUCCAUGCAGGCAAAUUAAUGGCAUGAAUUAGUGGGGCAACAAUUCCAACUUAUCAAACUUGAAAUAGCUUUUUUGAACUGUAUGGACUUAUCAUGCAAAUGUUUGUUCUGUGCAAUUUGUUGACCAACUUCUCUGAACAAUUUUGUAAGUUAGGAAGUGAUCCCAACUGUCGGUCUGCUCUAGCGAACCACUAGUACACAAAGAUUACAAUACAUGUAUAGGAAUUACACAACACAUGUAUAGAAAUUUCACAAGUUAAGAAUAUCUGGGCUGAGAAGACAGGACUGAAGUGAAGGGCUAUCAACCGUAGGUUGCACAUCUAGUGGCAGCAAAAAAGUGACUGAAAUUUUGUAAAAUUUCAGGUGAUUGAAAUCUAGAUUCCCCUGUGUAGCAUAUAUGAUCCCUUACUAUUAGGAAUACUUUGACAUAUAUGUACAUAUUGUAUUGAAUUGUCUCUUUCCUUGUAUUCUCCUCUAAUUGAGGAUCAUGUACAUGUGCUUCCUAUAUCAAUGCAUGGCCACCCCUCCCAUUGGGUGUGAGGUGUUCUCCCCAUUCCAUUCUA